rnacentral:rRNA from 1 species
UACGUAGGGUGCAAGCGUUAAUCGGAAUUACUGGGCGUAAAGCGUGCGCAGGCGGCUUUGCAAGACAGAUGUGAAAUCCCCGGGCUUAACCUGGGAACUGCAAUUGUGACUGCAAGGCUAGAGUGUGUCAGAGGGGGGUGGAAUUCCACGUGUAGCAGUGAAAUGCGUAGAGAUGUGGAGGAACACCGAUGGCGAAGGCAGCCCCCUGGGAUAACACUGACGCUCAUGCACGAAAGCGUGGGGAGCAAACAGG